rnacentral:rRNA from 1 species
UACGGAGGGUGCAAGCGUUAUCCGGAUUUACUGGGUUUAAAGGGUGCGCAGGCGGAUAUGUAAGUCAGUGGUGAAAUCUCCGGGCUUAACCCGGAAACUGCCGUUGAUACUAUAUAUCUUGAAUGCUGUGGAGGUAAGCAGAAUAGGUCAUGUAGCGGUGAAAUGCUUAGAGAUGACAUAGAAUACCUAUUGCGAAGGCAGCUUACUACGCAGAUAUUGACGCUCAUGCACGAAAGCGUGGGGAUCAAACAGG